UGGGGAAUUUUGCACAAUGGGCGCAAGCCUGAUGCAGCGACGCCGCGUGAGGGAUGAAGGCCUUCGGGUUGUAAACCUUUUUCGCUCAUGGUCAAGCCGCAGCUUUGGGUUGUGGUGAGGGUAGUGGGUAAAGAAGCGCCGGCUAACUACGUGCCAGCAGCCGCGGUAAUACGUAGGGCGCGAGCGUUGUCCGGAAUUAUUGGGCGUAAAGGGCUUGUAGGCGGUUGGCCGCGUCUGCCGUGAAAUCCUCUGGCUUAACUGGGGGCGUGCGGUGGGUACGGGUUGACUUGAGUGCGGUAGGGGAGACUGGAAUUCCUGGUGUAGCGGUGGAAUGCGCAGAUAUCAGGAGGAACACCGGUGGCGAAGGCGGGUAUCUGGGCCGUUACUGACGCUGAGGAGCGAAAGCGUGGGGAGCGAACAG
rnacentral:rRNA from 1 species